rnacentral:rRNA from 1 species
GUCGUGAGAUGUGGUUAAGUCCGCAACGAGCGCAACCCUUAUUGCUAGUUACCAUCAUUGAGUUGGGGACUCUAGCGAGACUGCCAGUGAUAAACUGGAGGAAGGUGGGGAUGACGUCAAAUCAUCAUGCCCCUUAUGACCUGGGCUACAAACGUGAUACAAUGGCUGAAACAAAGGGCAGCGAAGCAGUGAUGUGGAGCGAAACCCAAAAAGCAGUCUCAGUUCGGAUUGAAGUCUGCAACUCGACUUCAUGAAGUCGGAAUCGCUAGUAAUCGCGGAUCAGAACGCCGCGGUGAAUACGUUCUCGGGGUUU